AAACAUGGCUCUUUGAUUUCUUAAAAUAAAGAGUCGGGCCUGCCCAGUGAUAUAGUAUUAUUUAACGGCCGCAGUAUUCUGACUGUGCAAAGGUAGCAUAAUCAUUUGCCCUAUAAUUGAGGGCUAGUAUGAAUGGUCUGACAAGAACAAAGCUGUCUCUAGAAAAGUUUAUUGAAAUUAACUUUCAAGUGAAGAGGCUUGAAUAUAACUAAAAGACGAGAAGACCCUAUCGAGCUUAAAAGGUUAUUUAGGUUGACUAUUUAAAUCUUUUUGGUUGGGGCGACCGAGGAACAAUUAAAGCUUCCUUAUUUUCAAAAACACAUAAAUAUUGAUCCAGUAAAAUUGAUUAAAAAAAUAAGUUACCGUAGGGAUAACAGCGUAAUCCUCUUUAAGAGUUCAUAUUAAGAAGGGACUUUGCGACCUCGAUGUUGGACUAAAGUAUCCUAAAGAUGUAGAAGUCUUUAAAGGUUGGUCUGUUCGACCAUUAAAACUUUACAUGAUCUGA
rnacentral:rRNA from 1 species